rnacentral:rRNA from 1 species
AAAAACAGAGAAGGGCGCAGGGCGGAUGCCUUGGCUCUCGGAGGCGAAGAAGGACGCGAUAAGCUGCGAUAAGCCCCGGGUAGAUGCAAAUAAUCUUUGAUCCGGGGGUUUCCGAAUGGGGCAACCCAUGCAACUGAAGGUUGCAUAUCCAGCAAGUCUGGAGGCGAACGCGGGGAACUGAAACAUCUAAGUACCCGCAGGAGGAGAAAACAAAAGUGAUUCCGCAAGUAGUGGCGAGCGAACGCGGAGGAGCCCAAACCAUGCCCGUUGAGGCGGACAUGGGGUAGUAGGACCGCGGCAUCGGAGAAGUGUUUGAAGUGGAAGAAGUCUGGAAAGGCUUCCCGCAGAGGGUGACAGGCCCGUACACGCAAGAACAUUAUCCGUAGCGGUAUCCUGAGUAGCGCGGGACACGAGGAAUCCUGUGUGAAUCAGCCGGGACCAUCCGGCAAGGCUAAAUACUCCCGAGAGACCGAUAGUGAACCAGUACUGUGAAGGAAAGGUGAAAAGCACCCCGAACAGGGGAGUGAAAAAGAACCUGAAACCUUGCGCCUACAAGCGGUCGGAGCCACUUCGUGUGGUGACGGCGUGCCUUUUGCAUAAUGAACCUACGAGUUACUUUCACUGGCGAGGUUAAGGGGUUGAGCCCCGGAGCCGAAGCGAAAGCGAGUCUGAACAGGGCGCUGAGUCAGUGUGAGUAGACGCGAAACCAAGUGAUCUACCCUUGACCAGGAUGAAGGUUGGGUAACACCAACUGGAGGUCCGAACCGUUUGGCGUUGAAAAGCCUUCGGAUGAGUUGAGGGUAGGAGUGAAAGGCCAAUCAAACUUGGAGAUAGCUCGUACUCCCCGAAAUGCAUUUAGGUGCAGCCUUGUGAUAGUUUUCAAGAGGUAGAGCGACUGAUAGGAUGCGAGGGCUUCACCGCCUAUCAAGUCCUGAUAAACUCCGAAUGCUUGGAAACGUUUCACAGGAGUGAGGGCAUGGGUGCUAAGGUCCGUGCCCGAGAGGAGAAGAAUCCUGACCACCAGCUAAGGUCCCCAAGUGCGCGCUAAGUUGAAUUAACGAAGUCAGACUGCAUAGACAGCUAGGAUGUUGGCUUGGAAGCAGCCAUUCAUUUAAAGAGUGCGUAACAGCUCACUAGUCGAGCGGUUUGGCGUGGAUAAUAAUCGGGCAUAAGCGUGUCACCGAAGCUGUGGAAUCCCGUUUUACGGGAUUGGUAGGGGAGCAUUCCGGUCGGCGUUGAAGGUGCGUGGUAACGCGUGCUGGAGCGUCCGGAAAAGCAAAUGUAGGUAUAAGUAACGAUAAAGGGGGCGGGAAACCCCCUCGCCGGAAGACUGAGGUUUCCUGAUCAACGUUAAUCGGAUCAGGGUCAGUCGGGACCUAAGGCGCAGCCGAACGGCGGAGCCGAUGGAAGAAACGGUUAAUAUUCCGUUACUGCGUUACGGAGCGAUGUGGGGAAGGAGAAGUGACAGUCCUGCCAUCUGACGGAAUAGGUGGUUGAAGGGUGUAGAUACCGAGAGCUUCAGGCAAAUCCGGAGCUUGAAUCGAACCUGAUAGUACUGCGAGUCUUCGGACAAGCAGAUAUGGACGUAAGCAGACUCCCUAGAAAAUCCGCUAAGCAUAUCCGCAACGCACCCGUACUAUAAACGGACACACGUGGUCAAGUAUAGAGUACUGAGGCGCUCGAGUGAUUCACAGCUAAGGAACUAGGCAAAAUAGCCCCGUAACUUCGGGAAAAGGGGCGCUUCCUCCAGCGAUGGAGAAGCCGCAGAGAAAUGGCCCAGGCGACUGUUUAACAAAAACAUAGGGCUAUGCGAAAUCGAAAGAUGAAGUAUAUGGCCUGACACCUGCCCGGUGCCGGAAGGUUAAGAGGAGAGGUCAGAGCAAUCGAAGCCUUGAAUUGAAGCCCCGGUAAACGGCGGCCGUAACUAUAACGGUCCUAAGGUAGCGAAAUUCCUUGUCGGGUAAGUUCCGACCUGCACGAAUGGUGUAACGAUCUGGGUACUGUCUCAGCUGUGAGCUCGGUGAAAUUGUAGUAUCGGUGAAGAUGCCGAUUACCCGCAACGGGACGGAAAGACCCCGUGAACCUUUACUGCAGCUUAGCGUUGAAUUUGGGCAAUUCAUGUGUAGGAUAGGCCGGAGGCUAUGAAACGGGCACGCCAGUGUUCGCGGAGCCGCCCUUGAAAUACGGCCCUUGGAUUGUUUGAGUUCUAAUCCCGAAUCCGGGAGACACCGCUUGGCGGGUAGUUUGACUGGGGUGGUCGCCUCCAAAAGAGUAACGGAGGCUUCCAAAGGUGCGCUCAGACCGAUUGGUAACCGGUCGCAGAGUGUAAUGGCACAAGCGCGCUUGACUGAGAGACCCACAAGUCGAUCAGGCUGGAAACAGGGGCAUAGUGAUCCGGUGGUUCCGCAUGGAAGGGCCAUCGCUCAAAGGAUAAAAGGUACUCCGGGGAUAACAGGCUGAUCAUUCCCAAGAGCUCAUAUCGACGGAAUGGUUUGGCACCUCGAUGUCGGCUCGUCACAUCCUGGGGCUGGAGAAGGUCCCAAGGGUUGGGCUGUUCGCCCAUUAAAGUGGCACGCGAGCUGGGUUCAGAACGUCGUGAGACAGUUCGGUCCCUAUCUGUUGUGGGCGCGGGAGAUUUGAGGAGACCUGACACUAGUACGAGAGGACCGUGUUGGACGAACCGCUGGUGUACCGGUUGUUUUGCCAGGGGCAUUGCCGGGUAUCUACGUUCGGACAGGAUAAGCGCUGAAAGCAUCUAAGCGCGAAGCCAACUUCAAGAUUAGAUCUCCAUUGAGGGUCGUCAUAGACGAUGACGUUGAUAGGCGGCAGGUGUAAAGCCAGAGAUGGCAAAGCCGAGCCGUACUAAUUGCCCGAAAGUUUUUUGUCG